rnacentral:rRNA from 1 species
GGCCAGACUCCUACGGGAGGCAGCAGUAAGGGAUAUUGGUCAAUGGGGGAAACCCUGAACCAGCAACGCCGCGUGAGGGAAGACGGUUUUCGGAUUGUAAACCUCUGUCCUCUGUGAAGAUGAUGACGGUAGCAGAGGAGGAAGCUCCGGCUAACUACGUGCCAGCAGCCGCGGUAAUACGUAGGGAGCGAGCGUUGUCCGGAUUUACUGGGUGUAAAGCGCUCGUAGGCGGUAUGUCAAGUCAAGGGUGAAAUCCCCGCGCUCAACGUGGGAACUGCCUUUGAAACUGGCAAACUGGAGUGUGUGAGAGGAUAGUGGAAUUCCAGGUGUAGGAGUGAAAUCCGUAGAUAUCUGGAGGAACAUCAGUGGCGAAGGCGACUAUCUGGCACAUAACUGACGCCGAGGAGCGAAAGCGUGGGUAGCAAACAGGAUUAGAUACCCCCGUAG